rnacentral:rRNA from 1 species
AGCUCCAAUAGCGUAUAUUAAAGUUGUUGCAGUUAAAAAGCUCGUAGUUGGAUUUCGGAGUGGGCCAGUUGGUCCGCCGCAAGGUGUGUUACUGACUGGUUUGCUAUUCUUCGCAAAGACUGCGUGUGCUCUUCAGUGAGUGUGCGUAGGAUUUACGACGUUUACUUUGAAAAAAUUAGAGUGUUCAAAGCAGGCUAUUGCUUGAAUACAUGAGCAUGGAAUAAUGGAAUAGGACUUUCGUCCCAUUUUGUUGGUUUUUAGGGCCGAAGUAAUGAUUAAGAGGGACAAUUGGGGGCAUCCGUAUUUCGUUGUCAGAGGUGAAAUUCUUGGAUUUACGAAAGACGAACAACUGCGAAAGCACUUGCCAAGAGUGUUUUCA